rnacentral:rRNA from 1 species
CGCCCAGACUCCUACGGGAGGCAGCAGUGGGGGAUAUUGCACAAUGGGGGAAACCCUGAUGCAGCGACGCCGCGUGAGCGAAGAAGUCAUUCGUUCCGUAAAGCUCUAUCAGCAGGGAAGAAAAUGACGGUACCUGACUAAGAAGCCCCGGCUAACUACGUGCCAGCAGCCGCGGUAAUACGUAGGGGGCAAGCGUUAUCCGGAAUUACUGGGUGUAAAGGGAGCGCAGACGGCAGUGCAAGUCUGGAGUGAAAGCCCGUGGCUUAACUACGGGACUGCUCUGGAAACUGUGCAGCUAGAGUGCAGGAGAGGCAGGCGGAAUUCCUAGUGUAGCGGUGAAAUGCGUAGAUAUUAGGAGGAACACCGGUGGCGAAGGCGACUUUCUGGACUGUACCUGACGCUGAGGCGCGAAAGCGUGGGUAGCGAACGGGAUUAGAUACCCCUGUAAUU